UUUCUGUGCUGGUCACAGCAUUUUGAGUACUGCCAGGUGGAUGCAGCAUCCAAUCUGUUGGGCCUUGUCACCUCUACCUCAGGUGGAUUGGCUGGGGCUUGCCAACAGCCAUGUGAGUGAGCUGGAAGGCUUGAGAAGACUCUAACUCCAGUCAACAGUUUGAAAGAAACCAUUUAGGAGACCCUGAGUAAAAACCACUCAGCAGCUUCCAGAUUCUUGAAACACAGAAACUAUAAGUGGGAGCUCUAGAGCUGCAGUGUCCAGUAAAGCAGCCACAGCCAAAAAGGGUUACUGAACACUUUAAACAUGGCUCAUCUGAAAUGAGCAUUCUUUGAUGUGUGGUCUGUGGACUCCAGGGAGUACCCAAGACUCUUCAGGGAGCUCAAUGAGGAGAAAAUAUUCAAACUUGAUAAAUGAAUUAAGAAGACUCUAAUGGUUUUUAACUCCUGAGAUCAUAUUAUAAACAUGUAUCUAAAAACAAGAAAAUUA